rnacentral:tRNA from 1 species
GGGGCUGUGGUGUAGUCUGGUCUAGCAUUUAAGCUUUGGGAGCUUACGACUCCGGUCCAAAUCCGGACAGCCUCA